rnacentral:lncRNA from 1 species
CAGAAAUAAGAAAGUUGCUCUUCUUCUCCACAACGUCUCCUGCGAGGUGCUUUUCAGAUCCGCGUGGUUCCAGUCAAGAUGUCACUUUUAGAUCCCCCGCGUUGAGCAACUAAUACAUUAUGCAGUAUUGGGCAAUAAACUCUCCCGGGAAGAGAAGGUAGUCCAAACAUUUAAACUGCUCUCCACUGACUCCUGUCUGCCUCAGGACAAUGCCUUGAUAUAGACCCGCAGCUAACUGGAUUUGAUUUAUAAGAAGGAAAUCUACAGUCAAUGGCCACUCUGCCACA